GAGCACCUAGCUAUGGAUGGAAGAAUGGAAAUUACAAUAAUAAAAUCCUAAUUCUAAUAGAAUACUAACAAUGCUCUAAUUAGAUCAUAAUAAUGCUAAGUAAGCUUAAUCAAAUUUAAAAAAACCUCAAAGAAAUUUCAAACAAAUAAUAAUAAUUCUUAAAAAAAUAUUAGAAGGAUCACAUAUAUUACUCAAAUACAUCUCAAUUCAAUCUUAAUUUAAUUCUAGUUAAAGUCCUAUUGAACUUCAUUCAAACUUUAGGCCAAAACUAAUUGAAUCUUAAAUCCUAAUAAAAUCCUAAAUCCUAAAUCAAACCCUAAACAAACCUUAAAUCAAAUGCGAAUCAAAUCCUAAACAAAAUCCUAACCAAAUCCUAAAUCAAAUCCUAAUCCAAAUCUUAAAUCCUAAACCAAAUCCUAAUUAAAUCCUAAAUCCUAAAUUAAACCCCAACCAAAUUCUAAAUCCUAAAUAAAAUCCUAACCAAAUCCUAAACCAAAUCCUAAUCUAAAUCCUAAAUCCUAAAAUAAAUCCUAACCAAUUCCUAAUCCUAAAUCAUAUUCUAAUCCAAAUCCUAAACCCUGAACCAAAUCCUAA
rnacentral:lncRNA from 1 species